CCCACCAUCAAGCCUGAAGGGAAGCGCCACUGCUAUUGCCCGACAGUAGUUUCCCCUUUGUUCCCAAUUCCAUUCCUGAAACUUAUUAUCGUCCUUAUCCGGAACCACUGAUGUCACCGCUAUAGAGAUGAUUGGGAUAGGCGCGAUUGUCAUUGUUGUUGCUGCCCCAGAAGAAGUGAGGCUGCUGCUGCUGUUCCGGUCGCAUUGGCUGUUGUAAACUGGGAAAAAGAAAGGGAUCGUUUAAAUUCGACGGUUUCGACUAAUUGAGUGACACAGGUUCGAAGACUCUGUUUGAAGCUGCAGGCGAUUAUAGAUCUUAUUUAUGAGUUAAGUUUACGACUUGAGUUAUUUUCAUAGAAUUUCCCUCGCUCUUAUUGCUUAACAUUUUUAUUUUAUACAGAGGGAUAGGAUUUGUAUGUGAGUUUUAUUUGAAAUCUUUUGUAUGACAGAUAUUAUUAUUAAUAAUUAUGUGAUUAUUAUUA